rnacentral:misc_RNA from 1 species
GCAUCUGGUAACACUGAGCCAAUGUUUACGGCGAGGCAUCUGGUAACACUGACUGCGCGUUACUUUCAAGUUUCAACAGUAAACGGUUGGUAGUGUUGCGGCAGUGACGGAUUAACAAGAGUAUGUUGGUGACCCCUGGAACCCCACAGGUCUGUACUGGAUUAGCCAGAAAUGCAUCUGUAAAGGUGUAUGUUCGGACACGUCCAAUGCUGGGAGGAGAAGAACAUCAAGGUGCGACAAAUAUAUUGGCUGUCUCUUCCCAAUAUAAAAAGGUUGUGGUUGAGGAUGGUACUGAGAAAAAGUUCACAUUUGAUGAUGUUUUCGAAGAACAUUGUUCCCAGGAUGAAGUGUAUAUGAGGGCUGUGGAACCUUUGGUGACCAAGGUGGAGGAAAAUGAAAAUGCUACUGUAUUUGCCUAUGGUCAGACAGGAUCAGGAAAAACCUUUACCAUGGGCACAAGCCCUUGCUUUGCACAGGAGGAUGAAGGCAUUUUACAGCGAGCAAUUCACUCCCUUCUUGGUAAGGACAAGAACCCAAGUGCAACUCAAGGUGACCUCACUAAUACUGCACGGAGCCUAACAAUCUCCAUAAUGGAGGUGUAUAAUGAGACUGUGUAUGACCUCUUGGCUCCAUCUAGAAUACCACUGAAGACUAAAGCUGGACCCGGGGGAGCUGUGUCAGUGGUUGGGGUGCAGGAAGAGAUUGUGAACAGUGUUGAAGAAGGUCUUCUACUCUUGAAGAAGGGCAGCCACCUACGUAGUGUUGGAGCCACAGCAGGGAAUCAACAUUCAUCUCGUUCCCAUGCUAUUAUAUAUCUCAUAUUAAAGAAAGGUUAUCAUCAUUCGUGCUUAAAGCUGGUUGAUCUGGCUGGAGCCGAGGGUGUCGGUCGAACACAGAUGUCUGGCCGGCAGUUUACUGAGGGGGUCAACAUUAAUAAAGGUCUCCUGGCACUCAGCAAGGUUUUGGCUGCUCUCAGUAACCCUACAGCUGGUUAUGUUCCUUACAGGGAAUCAGUAUUAACAAGACUCCUCAAAGACUCUUUGGGUGGCAAUAGCCACACAGCAAUGAUUGCUUGUGUCAGCCCUGCCAACUUUAAUGUGCAUGAAACUAUCAAGACUCUACACUAUGCAGAACAAGCUAGAAAUAUCAGAACCAAGCCUCAAAUUUUGUCUACUAUUAAGAGGUUGGGCAUGAAGCGUCGCUGUGAAGAUGUGACGGCCACUCCAGAAGCUUGGAAGAGACGGAUAAUGGCCUCAGGAAAGAAACCAGAGCACAACAGCACAAUUUCCACACCGGGUCACAAGCCACCAAGUAGAGUGUUGGUUUCUUCCCUGAACAGCACCUUUAUUACUCCAUCAAGAAAAAUAAAUGAGAUGGACAAGAGUACUUUGUUGGGUGUUAGUUGUGACAUGCCACCACCCAUGUUCUCCAGCCUCAUUCAGCAGCCCGUCAUUAAUGAGUCUGUGGCUCAUCCCUCUGGCUUCAGUCCUCUCCUUGAGCGAGUGAGCUGUCUUGAGAUGUCAAUGAUGACUCAGUUGGAGAAUAUAGAAGAUCGUUUGUGUAACAAGAUUAUGGCAAAACUUGAACACAAGAAAAAGGGCACAUGUUCAAGAAAGAAGAAAAGACAUUGCAAAUCCAAGAGUUCUACACCAAACAGUGAUGUAGAGAACAAAUUAGAAGUUGACUCCUCAGAUGAUGAUAUCAUGGGCAUUCCCACAGCUGGCAGCCUUUUUGACACACACAAGAUGAAGAGUCUGCUGCAAGAUAUUGUCACCAGUGCUCUAGGAAGUGUAAUUCAUGAUACUAAACCCAUAAGAAGCAUACAGCAUACUGUCUUGCCAUCAAAUUUGCCAGUGAAAACAGCAAUCCCAGAAAUAAGUGCAAACCAAAACCCUAUGAGAGAUAUAAAAAAGAAGUCGAUUUGGACAGCUGAUGAAAGAGCUUUAGAAAACUGUAAGGAGACAACUAUGAACAUGGACUCACAACCCCUAAAGGACUUACCUGUAACAAGUACAGCAUUCGUCGACACUCGAGCUGUAAGAAAAUCCACAAGACUUUCAACAAGACAAAUCAUCCAGAAAGCACUGUUCAAGGACCUCUCACCAGAUGUUAAAUGUAGCUCUAAAUCUACUUCUAUUAUGACUGAGGAAGGGAUAAACACUUCCUUUUCCCACCAAUUUUCUUGGUUGGCUUAUGAUAAACCUACAGUUCUUCAAGAGGAAGGUUCCCCUCUGCUGAGAUCUCCUAAAUUGUCUGUUCAGCCACAGUCAAAAGAGAUAAAUAGAGAAUUUAAAGAAUCUCAUACAAAUGGUGCAAUUUACAGUGGAGACAUCACAAAAUAUGUAGAUGACAUUCAGUCCCAAACAUGCAGUGGAUUUCCAGUGAAGUUGAAUUUUACUUUGCCUUUAAACGGAGGGUUGAAACCAGAGAAAAAUAACCCAAGACGGAAAUCCACAAGGCUCUCAGCUAUUAGAGCAACUCAGCGUAAUUUUGAGAUCUUGCAAGGACAAAGCCCUUACAGUAGCGUGGUCAAGUCUCGACGGCCCUCACUUGCUUCUACAAAGAAGGAUCAAGAAUCAACAAAUGUGACCAUGUGUGUUGUGCCCACAAAUACAACUUUCUCGGCCAAUGACACAACACAGGGGAAAUGGCAGUUAAAGGUGAGCCCCAGACUACAGAAACAACACAAUGAAACCAUUCUCAAAAUCUUAAAUACUGGCAAUUUGAAGAAACUGCAGCAGCUCCCCACAGUUGGACCAAAGACUGCUAUGGUUAUACACAAUUUCAGGUCACUUUAUGGCAAAUUCACUUCAGUUGAGGACCUACAGCAUGUUCCUGCUCUACCAGAGUCUUACUGCAAGCGUUUCAUGAAGGCUAACUUGGUGCAUUGACUGCAGUUGUAAGAAGCAUCACAGCCUUCAGUUGUACCUGACAAGAUUGGACACUGUUGAAGGGGGAAGGUUCAGGGCAGCUUCCUCACUUGGCGCCGGUGUUGGUGGGCGAUGUCUUGCCACACAGGAGAGACACCAGGGCACGGACUGUGGUUAGGGCGUGGGGGAAGUGGCGAUGACGUGGCAGCCGCGGUAGUAGCUGGAGUGGGUGUCCGGAGAUUGACAGCCGAAUAGUGAAGGACUGGGGAAUCAGCCCACGAGCCCCAUGAGCCUCAGAUGAGUACACGACCAGCGUUUGAACGAACAGCGGGGGAAGUGCAGCUGUGGUGCUGGCUGGGUAGUGUCUGAUGUGUGACGAAGCAGCAGCGACCUUCUCGCCUCCGUUUACCCCCCCUAGUGGGGGCCGCAAAUGAGUGGCGGACAACCAUCCUGCUCGUUACCGCCCUUACACAGCUCCCCAACAACAAUCUACUGUAAGGUACAUUAAAACU